CGACUGGCGCGAGUGCGAGCCGGAGUCAGGCUCCUUGAAGAACGACUCGGGCAGGAUCUUCUUCCGCCACGAGCUGGGCUUGGGGUUCAUCACCGAGUUGAAGAGGGCUUCGAGGGUAACUCAAGUCACUAGGGGUUGAGAAGAAACCUGGUCAAAGCUUGGGCGCUGGAAAGGGACAGCGAUCGUGCCCCCCUCUCCCGCGACAUCCGCGCGGGUAGUGGGAGGAUUGGAAUGUCCCUGACGCCCUCCAGAGAGCCUGGAGCCGGGAUGGAACCGGAACAGGUGGCUGGGAGCAGAGAGGGUGCGCCAGUGACCCGGAAAAAACCACCCACCCUCCCACCGACCUGAUCUAGGCGAGGGGUGGAGACCCCCUGCUAGAUCUAGACUGGCAAGACAGCUGCGGGAAGUAGGAGGCGGCCUGGUCCUCCGGAGCAGCUCAGUUCCUUCUUUCCUUGUCCCUUCUCCAUUGGGGAGAAGGGGAGAGUGGCUGCGAGGGAGGUGUGGAAGUUUCUGCUUCUGUAAUUUUGGGAGAUCUGAGCCAUGCUGGGGAAACCACGUGCAGAGGAAGAGGCCCUGAGAUAGGUGGAGACAGGGAGAACUCCAGCCAUCCAGCACCGGAGCUGAGCCCAGCCCCCAGCCGGCCCAACAGCUGACUGCAAGGGCAUCAGUGACCAGCAUCAAGACCAGUAGAACCAGAGCCCAGCUCAGCCCAGCCCAGAUUGUAGAACAAAUAAAAUGAAUAUUGUUUUAAGCUACUAAA